rnacentral:rRNA from 1 species
ACGGGAGUGGCAAGCGUUAUCCGGAAUUAUUGGGCGUAAAGCGUCCGCAGGCGGCCUUGUAAGUCUGCUGUCAAAACGUGGAGCUCAACUCCAUUUCGGCAGUGGAAACUACAAGGCUUGAGUGUGGUAGGGGCAGAGGGAAUUCCCGGUGUAGCGGUGAAAUGCGUAGAUAUCGGGAAGAACACCAGUGGCGAAGGCGCUCUGCUGGGCCAUAACUGACGCUCAUGGACGAAAGCCAGGGGAGCGAAAGGG